CUUGCCUUCCCCGAUCUUCCCUCUUCCUCUCUCUGUUCUCUCGCGGACGGGCGACGCCGAAGCAAGCCGAGAGCUCCGGUGAUCUCCUUCGGCCGGCAUCGACGCCUAGUAAGCCCAGAUCCAGCCGAAGCCUCCUCCUCCUCGCUCUAAUCUUUCUGAAGACUCUCACGGGGACGAACCGACGCCGAGCGUGGACGAGUCGACGCCGACGAUCGCCGGUGUAGAUCUAUCUGCGGAGCUUGCCGGAGAUCAAUCAAGGAGACAAGGAUCAUCUUGAUUUCCUCUGCUCAACCCUUCCCCGAUCUUUCUUCUCGUUUCUGCCGACCCUCUCUCCCCCGAUCCGAUCGCCGGCUUGAAUGCCCUAGGGUUUCGAAGGAAGGAGAGAUCGGAUCCAAUUACGUGCUGUAACCCACAGAUCGGUUCUGGGAUGUUUCCUUCUUUGCUGUGAUUGAGGUUUCGGUUGAAGUGGGGAGGAUUUCAGCAGAGUUGCUGUGGUUUCUUUGAUCCAGCAAGGAAAUUCCUCUCAUUGUGCUGUCGGCAGAGGCUUCAGAUCAGUGAGGACUCUGAUUCGAGACGGGCGUCUCGACUUCGGAUUUGGAUUGUACCAUCUAUUUGA